rnacentral:rRNA from 1 species
GGGGAUAACUAUCCGAAAGGAUAGCUAAUACCGCAUACGUCCUGAGGGAGAAAGCGGGGGAUCGCAAGACCUCGCGCGAUUGGAGCGGCCGAUAUCGGAUUAGCUAGUUGGUGAGGUAAAGGCUCACCAAGGCGACGAUCCGUAGCGGGUCUGAGAGGACGACCCGCCACACUGGAACUGAGACACGGUCCAGACUCCUACGGGAGGCAGCAGUGGGGAAUUUUGGACAAUGGGGGAAACCCUGAUCCAGCCAUUCCGCGUGAGUGAAGAAGGCCUUCGGGUUGUAAAGCUCUUUCAGCAGGAACGAAACGGUCGGCUUUAAUAAAGUCGGCUAAUGACGGUACCUGCAGAAGAAGCACCGGCUAACUACGUGCCAGCAGCCGCGGUAAUA